rnacentral:lncRNA from 1 species
AAAACUCCUUUAUAUGAACUUCAAAAGCAACAAUUCUUUCAUAAAAGAUGUAAGCUUUAAAAUCACCAUUCUAAUCGCAUCUUUCAAACUUCAAAAGUUAUUGUACAACUCCUCAUAUCUUCAAAAGAGUAAUAAUAUAUCUUAAAUUAAUACCUUAAUUUCAAAUGGCUAUAUCUUCUUUAUCAUAAUUCCAAAUCUUAUAAUUUUUAUACACAAAUUGUAGUCCAAAUCCUAAAAUUUAUAAUUCUAGCUUCUAAUUCCUGAAUGCCUUCUUUGAAGUUACCAAAACUCUUUUUAAGAUCGUAG